CCUACGGGAGGCAGCAGUGGGGAAUAUUGCACAAUGGGGGAAACCCUGAUGCAGCGACGCCGCGUGAGCGAUGAAGUAUUUCGGUAUGUAAAGCUCUAUCAGCAGGGAAGAAAAUGACGGUACCUGACUAAGAAGCCCCGGCUAACUACGUGCAAGCAGCCGCGGUAAUACGUAGGGGGCAAGCGUUAUCCGGAUUUACUGGGUGUAAAGGGAGCGUAGACGGCGGUGCAAGCCAGAUGUGAAAGCCCGGGGCUCAACCCCGGGACUGCAGUUGGAACUGUGCUGCUAGAGUGGCGGAGAGGCAGGCGGAAUGCCCGGUGUAGCGGUGAAAUGCGUAGAUAUUAGGAGGAACACCAGUGGCGAAGGCGGCCUACUGGACGAUGACUGACGUUGAGGCUCGAAAGCGUGGGGAGCAAACAGGAUUAGAUACCCCGGUAGUC
rnacentral:rRNA from 1 species